GAUGAACGCUGGCGGCGUGCCUAAUACAUGCAAGUCGAGCGAACAGACGAGGAGCUUGCUCCUCUGACGUUAGCGGCGGACGGGUGAGUAACACGUGGAUAACCUCCCUAUAAGACUGGGAUAACUUCGGGAAACCGGAGCUAAUACCGGAUAAUAUAUUGAACCGCAUGGUUCAAUAGUGAAAGACGGUUUUGCUGUCACUUAUAGAUGGAUCCGCGCCGCAUUAGCUAGUUGGUAAGGUAACGGCUUACCAAGGCAACGAUGCGUAGCCGACCUGAGAGGGUGAUCGGCCACACUGGAACUGAGACACCGUCCAGACUCCUACGGGAGGCAGCAGUAGGGAAUCUUCCGCAAUGGGCGAAAGCUUGACGGAGCAACGCCGCGUGAGUGAUGAAGGCCUUCGGAUCGUAAAGCUCUGUUAUUAGGGAAGAACAAAUGUGUAAGUAACUAUGCACGUCUUGACGGUACCUAAUCAGAAAGCCACGGCUAACUACGUG
rnacentral:rRNA from 1 species